UACGAAGGGGGGCUAGCGUUGUUCGGAAUUACUGGGCGUAAAGCGCGCGCAGGCGGUCUUCCAAGUCAGUGGUGAAAGCCUGGAGCUCAACUCCAGAACUGCCAUUGAAACUGUUAGACUUGAGUACGAGAGAGGUGAGUGGAAUUCCCCAGUGUAGAGGUGAAAUUCGUAGAUAUUGGGAAGAACACCAGUGGCGAAGGCGGCUCACUGGCUCGUAACUGACGCUCAGGCGCGACAGCGUGGGGAGUCAAACAGG
rnacentral:rRNA from 1 species